rnacentral:rRNA from 1 species
GAAGCACAACUAGAGCCAAUGAUGUUAUUGGAUCCCACUGAUUGUUUUCCUGACCGAGAAAGAUGUGUUGUGCAUUCUGUACGCUACAUGAUGCAAAUAUUUUCAUUAAAGUUGGCUAAAGUUCCUGUGAACACAAGCUCGGUACAACUAUAUGGAUGUAUAGCUGCGCGAGAUUGUCUGGAUUCAUUGCUAAAUUAUAUUGUCAAUCGUAGCAGGGACGAUCCCAUUACAGUGCAUCAGGGCUCUCUCAUUGAGAUGACUGGCCCUAAGAGGGGAAUCACAAUGACCUCUCCUGUUCUAGUUGAGUUUGACAUGAGGAUCAGGAAAGGAGAGCAAGAAGAAGAUGAUCUACAAUUAAUUGACGGUGCAAUAGACUGCGAACUAACCACACCUUCCCGUCCAUCCACUAACCGCAUUAAUGGCGAUUGUGGAGCAGUUGACAUCACUUUGGCCCGCGUUCCCGGUGCGGUGGAGGCCACUAUAGAUGUUAUUAUAUCAAAAGUGCAGAGCGGAUUCAGUUUAUCUCUGAGCUCGUUUGUGUUUGCCGGUGGGUCACAUGAGGGAAUCGAACUCUUUUGUGGUACUAUCGGUGAGUCAUGUGGCUUAACAAGAAGAUAUGUGAUUGCUGUACAGAUGGGUAGUUGGAUGCAUUUGAAGUUCAAUGUAGGUCAGAAAGGCUCUGAAUAUGAUGAUCUGGAACGCUAUUGCCGCUUCAAAGCAGACAUCCAUGGGUGUGACUGUCGACAAAUAAUACUUGAGCAUGCAUCAAUCUCGCUGAAGGUGACUUGGUUGAUUGUGCGAUAA